rnacentral:rRNA from 1 species
GGAUUAGAUACCCUGGUAGUCCACGCCGUAAACGAUGUGAACUAGGUGUUGGGAUGGUUAAUCGUCUCAUUGCCGCAGCUAACGCAUUAAGUUCACCGCCUGGGGAGUACGGUCGCAAGAUUAAAACUCAAAGAAAUUGACGGGGGCCCGCACAAGCGGUGGAGUAUGUGGUUUAAUUCGACGCAACGCGCAGAACCUUACCUGGUCUUGACAUCCCGGGAAUCCUGUGGAAACACGGGAGUGCCUCUUUGAGGAGCCUGGUGACAGGUGCUGCAUGGCUGUCGUCAGCUCGUGCCG